GACAGAGGUGCCAAGCGUUAGGCGGAAUCACUGGGCUUAAAGCGUGUGUAGGCGGAAUUGUAAGUACCUUGUGAAAUCCCACGGCUCAACCGUGGAACGGCUGGGUAUACUGGCGGUCUUGGGCCAUUCAGGGGCGACUGGAACAAGCGGUGGAGCGGUGAAAUGCGUAGAUAUCGCUUGGAACGCCGAAGGUGAAAACAGGUCGCUGGGGAUGUGCCGACGCUGAGACACGAAAGCCAGGGGAGCAAACGGG
rnacentral:rRNA from 1 species